UCGACCAAGGUUCGACUUGAGCGCCAGCGAGAGAGCGUUGCCGCAGGCAACGACCCCAAGGGCGAAGCGCGCAGCGCUGAGUAAUCCUUCCCCCACCACCA
rnacentral:sRNA from 1 species